GCCAGCGUAGCUCAGUUGGCAGAGCAGUUGUUUUGUAAACAACAGGUCACCGGUUCGAGCCCGGUCGCUGGCU
rnacentral:tRNA from 1 species